AUCCUGGCUCAGAGUGAACGCUGGCGGCGUGCUUAACACAUGCAAGUCGAACGAGAACGGCUCUAGCUUGCUAGAGUGUCAGCUAANUGGCGGACGGGUGAGUAAUGUAUAGUUAAUCUGCCCCUUGGAGAGGGAUAACAGUUGGAAACGACUGCUAAUACCUCAUACUCCUUCUUCCUUAGUGGAAGUUGGGAAACGGUUUAUUCUGCCAAGGGAUGAGACUAUAUGGUAUCAGGUAGUUGGUGGGGUAAGAGCCUACCAAGCCAAUGACACCUAGCUGGUCUGAGAGGAUGAUCAGCCACACUGGAACUGAGACACGGUCCAGACUCCUACGGGAGGCAGCAGUGGGGAAUAUUGCACAAUGGAGGAAACUCUGAUGCAGCAACGCCGCGUGGAGGAUGACACAUUUCGGUGCGUAAACUCCUUUUAUGGGAAGAUAAUGACGGUCCAUAUGAAUAAGCACCGGCUAACUCCGUGCCAGCAGCCGCGGUAAUACGGAGGGUGCAAGCGUUCUCGAAUCCUGGCGUAA
rnacentral:rRNA from 1 species